AUUGAACGCUGGCGGCAGGCUUAACACAUGCAAGUCGAACGGUAACAUAAAGAAGCUUGCUUCUUUGAUGACGAGUGGCGGACGGGUGAGUAAUGCUUGGGAAUCUAGCUUAUGGAGGGGGAUAACUACGGGAAACUGUAGCUAAUACCGCGUAGAAUCGGGAGAUGAAAGUGUGGGACCUUCGGGCCACAUGCCAUAGGAUGAGCCCAAAUGGGAUUAGGUAGUUGGUGAGGUAAAGGCUCACCAAGCCGACGAUCUCUAGCUGGUCUGAGAGGAUGACCAGCCACACUGGGACUGAGACACGGCCCAGACUCCUACGGGAGGCAGCAGUGGGGAAUAUUGCGCAAUGGGGGCAACCCUGACGCAGCCAUGCCGCGUGAAUGAAGAAGGCCUUCGGGUUGUAAAGUUCUUUCGGUAGCGAGGAAGGCAUUUAGUUUAAUAAACUGGAUGAUUGACGUUAACUACAGAAGAAGCACCGGCUAACUCCGUGCCAGCAGCCGCGGUAAUACGGAGGGUGCGAGCGUUAAUCGGAAUAACUGAGCGUAAAGGGCACGCAGGCGGUGACUUAAGUGAGGUGUGAAAGCCCCGGGCUUAACCUGGGAAUUGCAUUUCAUACUGGGUCGCUAGAGUACUUUAGGGAGGGGUAGAAUUCCACGUGUAGCGGUGAAAUGCGUAGAGAUGUGGAGGAAUACCGAAGGCGAAGGCAGCCCCUUGGGAAUGUACUGACGCUCAUGUGCGAAAGCGUGGGGAGCAAACAGG
rnacentral:rRNA from 1 species